UUUCGGGCGCGGCGCCGGUCUAAGUCCCUUGGAACGGGGCGUCACAGAGGGUGAGAAUCCCGUAUGUGACCGGUGACUAACCCCAUGUGAAACUCCUUCGACGAGUCGAGUUGUUUGGGAAUGCAGCUCAAAAUGGGUGGUAUAUUUCAUCUAAAGCUAAAUACCGGCCAGAGACCGAUAGCGCACAAGUAGAGUGAUCGAAAGAUGAAAAGCACUUUGGAAAGAGAGUCAAACAGUACGUGAAAUUGUUGAAAGGGAAGCGCUCGCAACCAGACCUGCCCGCGGCCGAUCAACCGUCCUUCUGGGCGGUGCACUCGACCGCGAUCAGGCCAGCAUCGGUUCGGGCGGCCGGAUAAAGGCCCUGGGAACGUAGCUCCUUUCGGGGAGUGUUAUAGCCCUCGGUGCAAUGCGGCCAGCCGGGACCGAGGACCGCGCUUCGGCUAGGAUGCUGGCGUAAUGGUUGUGAGCGGCCCGUCUUGAAACACGGACCAAGGAGUCUAACAUCUAUGCGAGUGUUUGGGUGUCAAACCCAUGCGCGUAAUGAAAGUGAACGGAGGUGGGAACCCGUGAGGGCGCACCAUCGACCGAUCCAGAUGUCUUCGGAUGGAUUUGAGUACGAGCAUAGCUGUUGGGACCCGAAAGAUGGUGAACUAUGCCUGAAUAGGGUGAAGCCAGAGGAAACUCUGGUGGAGGCUCGCAGCGGUUCUGACGUGCAAAUCGAUCGUCAAAUUUUGGCAUAGGGGCGAAAGACUAAUCGAACCAU
rnacentral:rRNA from 1 species